UUUUUUUUCUGUUUUCGUUUUUCUGUUUUGCUAACUAUUGUUUUGCUAUUUAUUUCAGCUCCAAAACAAAAAGUAAAAACUAUUUGAGACCUCCUGAAAUAUUGUUAUAGCAUUCCCAACCAUUUCCAAAGUUUCCAACAUUUUUGGAAAUUUAUAGAUUCUGAUUUCAAAUUUAAAGUUUGAAACCAGUGGCUUUUGUAUUAAUUUAAAAAUGCUUAAGGU
rnacentral:lncRNA from 1 species